UACGGAGGGGGCCAGCGUUGUUCGGAAUCAUUGGGCGUAAAGGGCGCGUAGGCGGCCGGGCAAGUCGGAGGUGAAAGCCCUCGGCUCAACCGAGGAAUUGCCUCUGAUACUGCCUGGCUUGAGUCCCGGAGAGGGUAGCGGAAUUCCCAGUGUAGCGGUGAAAUGCGUAGAUAUUGGGAGGAACAUCGGUGGCGAAGGCGGCUACCUGGACGGGUACUGACGCUGAGGCGCGAAAGCGUGGGGAGCAAACAGG
rnacentral:rRNA from 1 species